UACGUAACGAAAUAUGUAUUCAUGUCCAGCUGAAUAAUCACACGCCAUCGGAUUAUAAUCAUUCCUCAAACGUGUCCACAAUCAGAGACGGGAAGACCUCGCAUCCCUCCCUCCAAUUCGGGCACUAUCUCUCUCUCCUAGAAGGCUUCGCAUUCGCUGUUCGCUUCAACUGAUCAUCGUCGCAGAGAUCUGGCAACGAUUAUUCACUGUGAAAUCUCAGUCCCAUCACGGACCUUCAACUUCAGCUGUUGAAGAUUUCUUUAUAUUCUGGCGGCAUUCUAAAUGUCUACUCUGUCUUCUCCAAUGAGUUCAACUUUGUCAACAUCUCGAGGGAUAAUUCCCCCAGCUGGCUUUGGUGCAUAUGAAGAUUCCAUGAGUGGGGAUCCUGGACCUUUUGGGAAUACUCAAUCAGAGUCUAGUGACACUGAUGAAACUGAGUUACAUUCUGUAUCAUGGAACCAGGACUACAGUUGCUUUGCUGCUGGCACAAGUCGAGGUUUUCGUAUAUAUAACUGUGAUCCCUUCAAGGAGACUUUCAGACGUGAUAUCAAAA